rnacentral:lncRNA from 1 species
UGUACACAGCAAUUUAAGCACAGGUAGCAUGAAAAAUCAGAUGCAAAUAGUUGUGGCUUGUCUUGUUUUCACAUGUUUCUGAAGUAUCCACCCAAAUUACAAAUCAUACUCUCUCAACAACAAAUCUAUGCUUGUGUCGUUUCCUACACUACCACUCCAUGAACUGCAAUGGUCUCUUGUUUUCUGUGCAAUUCAACCCCCCUUUUUCUCCCCUCCUGACGGAGAUCCAAAGGUCAGGGACGGUCAGAUUUUUUUCUUCUCUUCAAGCCUUACACUUUCUCCACAUGAGUUAGACACUAGAUCCCAAAAUAAAAAAAGCAAGUUUGGUCAAACAACGUAUCUGCCACACAACUGGUAUCCUGCCUGCUCCAGAGAAAUAUAAGAUUACAACACCUAAAAUGUCCCUCUCUUCCCAGGUGAAAGUCAAGCUUGAUAAACAGGCAGGGAUUAUUAUUAUAAAAACAUGCUUAUACUAGUCCAACAGAUCACAUCCCGUCACACCAACCCUCGGUUUCCAGAUAAACAACACAGACAAAUGUAGCAAGGGUGAAACUAGGGCAAAUCUAAUGUAUAACAUUGAAAAUAGUGGACAAAACUGCAUGUCUCUUUUUCAUGACUCUCAACCUUUAUUUAAAAAAAGCAGGGGAUGGAAAUUCUCUAAUUAAGAAAUGUAUAAAACCUUUUUUUGUUUUACCCGAUUUCACUGCAAAAAUGGCUAUAUAAUUCUGCCGGAAGAACAGCUUGGCUUUGAGCUAAGCAGGAAACCAGGUAGACAGGCAAGGAGGUAAAUCAGCAGCUGUUUGAGUGAAGUGUGUGUUAAUGGAGGACAGGUGUGUGUGUUUGUGUGCGUGUGGAACAUGUAGCAGCUACAAGACGGCAGGUGUUCAACUGUUAAACAUAAACAGCUAACAGGUGAGUAGACACAAAGUCAAGAUAUGGUGUUCUUUAGUUAGGCAUUUUGAUUGAAAGUGAUCCAUUUUUACAAAAAAAAGGCUUUUACUUUUUCUUUUAUCUGAUGCUUUUUUGACUAAUCAGAGAGCACAGGUGCAACAAAUGAGACUAAUAAGCUCAACUCACGGUGCAUUGGUCGUAAAUCACAAAACACAAAUCCAUGUGCAGUUCAUUAGUGUGCAAAGGCUUCAGUUAAUGUUAUUGAUAAUGCCUGUUCUUUCCCUGCGACUAAAAUAUUCAGUACCUUAGACACAUAAAUCAAACAUACAUUACAAAUCUAUCUGUAAUGGGUCCAUUCAAAUAAAAUAAAAUAAUGUUAUAAUGGAGAGAACUGUUUAGGCCACUUUGGGGGAAACAGGAGUAAACCAUGAUAAACAAAUUCUGGCUCCGCAUAUCCACCAAUGAUAUUAAAACAUGUUAAUUAGAGGCCCACUGGAAUUAUGGUUGAUCACCAAAUCUAUACGGUGUAAUUUAAAGACAAUGGAUGUAUCCCUCCAUGAAGCUCCAAUAUACUGUAUAAGCGAUACAUGAGUAGAAAAUCACAAAAGAGGGCUCUGGUGCUCUCUGUUGGAUAUGAAGAGCAAUGGCACAUAAAUAAAGUGAUGACACCCUUUACACUAAAAUAGUGUAAAUCAGUAACAAACACACACACACACACACACACAAAAAAAACAAAGGCUUUAUUUGAUCAUUUCAAGAAUUAGUCUCACUUCAUACAAACUUUGAUUUGGCCUUUGUUUUUUUUUUUCCUUUCCUUUCUUUUCUAAAGGAAGUUGGGCUAUCUAAGUGAAAUUUUCAAAAACAAUACAACAAGUAAAACUAAUUGAAAUUUGUUGUCAGACAUAGCAGUGAAAAAAAACUAUCCAAUCUACUAGUAUGCAGGCUGAACUUAAAAACCACUAAUUUCUCUGGGCUGAUGCUUUUAAUGUUUCUAUUUUUGAAAAUUUCUAAUAUCCCACUCCCAAUGAAUAAAAGAUUUAACAAUUAAAAGACUUUCAGACGAUUUUUUAUAACAGAGUCCUUUUGCCAGUGUAUUAUUUGGCAACAUACUAUGUAGUGGCAACAGGGAGCAGUCUUGGACAACACUGGAGCUACUCCAUGUGUUGAUAUAGAAUACAUAAGUUAGCAAGCUAGUGGGGCACAGUCAGCAAGGAGUUUGGGCAGAGUCGAAAACUUAAUGCAGUGAAAGAUUAUUUGGUUGGACUUCCAGUGGGCAGAUUCCCUCUGCAUCUAUUCCCUAAUCCUACAGUCUAUUAUAUCUUGUAUCUCCUUGGCAGCUGCAUCAUGCUCCUCUGGCAUGAGUAGGUGCUUAAGGCAGUAGGGUCAGUUAAAAGCAAAAAGGGAAAAAUUGAUAUAUUUCUUUCCUCGCAGCUUUGGAAAUGCCACUUCCACUACAGAUGCAAGGCUCUCUCUACUCCCAACAGCCCUAAACAUUGAACCAAUUUGUGCUCAUGUUUAGCCCAGUUCAUUACCUAAAACAAAUAUCUGCAGGAAAGUACAGCCACAAAUCUGCUCUUAGACGUCAUUUCUCCUCAACAACUCCAUUCUGACCACUAAAGUUGCUAGUUGGACAGUAAACAAUUACCAGCACAUUGGGAAAAAAGAACAGGACUGCUAAACUAUGUUGGAAAGCCUCAAAGAAUUGUCCUUUGCUCCCAGAAACCUUGAUGUUAAAACUUGAGAAAAAGACAAUGGACACAGGGGUCAUCUUUUAUAGGAAGACAAGCCUUCUGCCACCUUGAGAAGGCACAGGGGAAGAAAUUGGGGCCCUAUUUUCAAAAGACAAGCACUCUGUUGCUAUAAAAAAAGCAGUUUAGAUGGGGGAUUGGGACCUAUUGCCUUGCGCAAACAUGGAGAUCUAAAUCCUCAUAGCAACAUGGAUAAAACCCUGAAGGCCCUUUGCCUUGUCUUGACUUUAAGUCUUCCAUCAACUGGAGGCCCAGACUGUACUGGUGAGACUGUCUGCUACACUGAGACAUCUUAGACAAAAGCAAGAGAGCUCUUCAUCUUCUAAAGACAACACACACAGAAGAAAAACUGUACUCUAUUUGUUCAUGCUGUUUCCAAGUUGUGGAAGGCUUGUUAGAAAACUUAAUGUCUGUCAAGAACAGUGGCUCUCACCACAGCGACUGUGGUGUACAUAGACUGUUUAGGGGUUCGUCAUGGGGUCCUUGCUCACAGAAAGAUGUGAUUAAAGAAGAUCUGUCUCUAGCAGCAUUUUAAAGACCAUAUGUCAGCUUUUCUCUGUCUCUCCUCAGCGGUCUGUGAUCAUUGGGUUGUUGCACCACAGGACCUGAAUGUCCAAUUUUUGGGGUAACCCUGUGACAAAGCACAUUAUAAUGAGAUUCUUCAGAGAUUUUAAAUAAUUAAUAUGAGUAGCAUUGUGAUAUUAUAUACAAGGAGUCCAUCUACAACAAACAUUCCGCUUUGAAGUAUUUAAAAAAAGGAGCUGGAGCAGUAGAUGUUUGAAAAACUCCAAUAAUUGCUCUUUUUUUUGUCCCAUUGACUUCAGCACAAAAUUUUACCAUAGUUUUUCGCAACCUACAUUGCAAAAAACUCGUGUGCUAUAGAGAAAAGUAAUAGUACACUGAUCCUAAUCAAACCACCUGGUUUCCCAAUAGGACUCCCUGCUGCUCUACCAUUGGCAGCAAGUAUCACCUGAGGUGCACUAUGGGUUAAAGCUCUGUAAGAAAAAUGACAAAUAAAGGCCAGUGUUGACAGUAUUUUCUUCUCUAGAAGAGCCAGAAUAUUGGCCCAUACUGGGUAUUUAGCUGUUGUUUUCUGACCCUGGAAAAAGGUGGGGGCUGCUGCCAAAACUGAAAUAUGUGUCCUCUUGCAAGGGUUUCCAGUACCUAAUGAUCCGAAACAGUCCUGCAGACAUCAGCAGAAGCAGCCCACCCACCCCUGAUCUGGACCAAAUGGGCCUCCUGGCUAACCAAAGGCUUGAGUGCUGAGGUCCUGAUGCUUUUUGAUAGUCCGAGCACACUUGUGAAUCAGAGUAAAACAUUUCCGUUAGCAUGUUGUCAAGUUUCCCUAAUAAUGUUCUCUGGAAGGGUUGUCUGAGUCAGUAAGAUCAGCCUAUGAGUCAACAAGGCUAAUGACAUCUGUGCACUAUCACAAUAAGUGAGUUGGAAGUGACUAGGAGAGGCAUCAUCUAUCAGAUUAAUGGUGUCCUGGUCUUCUGUGUGUUAGCAGCAGUUCUAAUGGAAACUAGUAGAAUAGCCAGAGGGCUCCUAGCUUAACCUGCAGUGGCUGAGUUGUAGGUCCAUGGGCACUGCAGGUUAACUGUAACCCUAUCAGGGCCAAGAAGUGUAAAAGCUGCCAUCUCACUCUCUACUUGUGGUAUGUCACCCAGGUGCUGCUCGGGGCAUUACACGCCACAGACAUACAGACCUGCCUACAUAAUUAAACACAGCUACAGCAGAGACAAGGCUUAAAAUACUCAGAUGACAACAACAACAACACAGUAUGAACAACCAGCUGACAAACCGCUGGGUCUCAAUGCACCUGCACAACAAAGUACUGGAUUAUCAGCUCCACCAUGUGCAACAUAAGGGAGGUAAAUACUUCUAGGUUAUCUGGAUGAUUUUGGUUCAGGUUUCCUUCUUCUAUCAGAAAAUCAGCAAAGGCUUGAUAAUCUGAUGUUUCUCCAGAUUAUCUCACCACUUUUCCUGUGGUGUAAAGUAGGAGAGAUUUUACUCCUCCUGAUCCUCUUGGAAGAUGAUAAAUAUUAAACAUGUUCAAUAUUUACAGUCAGAAAUACAGGAACCCUGAAGAUAGUUGAGCAUGUUCUCUGCAUAUUGUCAGAAUGAACAGAAGAAAAACCAAUCAGGAAGCAAGCUGACUAAAGAAGGAAGCACAAGUGCAACCAUGGCAAUAACAUAAAACGCAAAAUAUGUCAGAACGACUGAACUCACUUGUUGAUUUGUGGUAACAACACAGCUGUACACAACAUCUGACCCCAAAAUUAACAAAACUGAAUAGGGAAAGAGUUGAACAGAAAUCACCACAGCAUCAGAUGUACCAGGAAGUUCAGCAGCAAGCACUGACUGGCUCCUGUCCACCUUGUUUGUUUACUUGAAAGACACAUUUUACCGUAAAUAAAUUUUUUAAAUUUUCAGUUUUGACAGUCAGACUCUGGUUGAAAGAAACAUUUUGUGAGUGGUGGGCUAUGUGUACUAUAUCACUGCACACCACACAUACUCAGGACACACUUUUAAAUGGGUGAUGAUUUGGUAUAAAGUGUUGGGUCCCACAAAUUAUUAAAAUUUGUUAAGAUUUUAAAAGUCUUUUGUUGUGUGCCAGGCUUUACUGGCUUCUUGUGAGGGGAAACAUGACCAGGGUCGGGUCACAGGCAGAACACAGAGAGAUAUGUUUCAUUUCAUUUUUGCAUUUUUUUUCUUGUCAGUUUAGCUGAACACCAAGUUUCACAUUAUAGAAGGAAAAUCAUUUCUUUUGCCACCUUUUUGCAUUGGUGCACUGGUAUUCUUUGUUUUGUCUCAUUGCACUUACACAAGUAAAAUACAGAGUUUUGCUGUACACUGGUAAAAGAUAACAUGUUUUACUUAACAUAUAUUAGCCUACCAACAAUGCUACAUUGGGACAAAAACCCCUUUCACUCAAAUGAGAAGGGGAAAUCUAUUCCCACAGACCCUUUUAAGCACUUGAAUAAUUAUGUAACAUGGCCUUAUGAAGCCAAAACAUCCUUGAGAACUCUUUAAAUGUUAGUGUUUGGAAUUUAUCACCUCACUGUUUACAUGAUGCUCUGUAAGACAUAAGAAUGUAAUAGCAGAGUGUAUUGUUUGGGUAAAGGAAUCAGGUUUGAGGAAGGAGAGCAUGGUUUUGAGUGUUGUGUAACCCUUUUCAGUUUUUGUUGAGAGCUUUGAGAAACUGAGCCACAGUUUCUGGAAAUAUGUUUCAACAUUUGGGAAAAACUUUAAUAAGCAUUGCGUAACAAAAACAAAAUGAUUGGAAGUUGGGAUCCAUUCUGUUUAUGAAAUUUUCUUCAUGCCAAUGGUUUUCCUUUUGUAGUUCAUCUUUGCUUUUUCAACACUAGAUGGUGCAGUAGCUCCAUUUAUGGAAGCAACUGUUUCACAGUCCCGGUCGAGCGUCAGCCUGAAACAAAACCUCAGAGUCAAAGAAUCAUUUUGGAAUAACGACAACUUAUUUCCCAAGGAAUAAAGCACAUUUACAUAUUUAACAUCUCUGUAUGCUGCAGUUUAUUUCUUGAUGACAAGAGUCUCUACAGAGUAAAAUGUGUGGUCUGUAAAUGUGAAGAAAGAUUUCAGCCAGAUCAAAAUCUCAUUAAUAUUUAUUUUCAGAGAUGUAUACACUUGUCUUUGUAUAAACAAUUUUGCAUUUAAACACUAUGAAUAGAAGUCUUUAUUAUACUCGUAAGGACAGAUGAGGAGGAUUGCCAUCAAAGUAGCGGUCACCUUGAUCAUUGGAGGGAAGGGAAUAUUGUAUAAAAAUUAUAAGGAGGUUCAUAAAAGCUGUGCAGUCUGUCAUGGUCAUCUCCUGAUAAUAGACCUAAAAGGCUAAGCUAAUGUCCAGCUUUUCCUGAUUAUGCAUACUAAUGACACGUCAAGUAUUCAUCACAAAAAUCUUUUUUCACUGGGUGAGGAGGGCAAACGGUAAUAAACGGCUGAAUUUAUUCAUUUGAGGUAUAAUCCCUUUAAUCAUGAGGAGGAAACUGUCAUGAGACUGGUAGGCCAGGCUGCUUGAAAUCUUCAGUAAUUUUACUAAAUCAGUUUUUUUUUUUUUUUUUUUAUGUAACAUGAUCACUUAACCACCUAAAAACAACCAAUCCUAAAGGAGCCGGUGAGCCUAAAAGCUUUAGAACAUUAGCCUUAUAAUUAAGAGAUAAUAAAAACAAUUGCUUUUCCACGCUCACUCAGGGGAAACAGAACUGCAGGUGCCAUACGCAGCAGUGCAGGUUUUUAAAGACUGGGGCUGCCUACCGGCCCAAUAUUAUACUCUGAGGCGAGCUGCAGUGGGCUUUUGUUGAAGUGCUUGGGAUAACACAAAGAGAACUUCAAACAGGCUUCUUAUUGUGCUCUAUUCUUCUGGGCAAGCUGAUUACAGUUAAGGAUAAAAGUUGUUCCUAUACAGUAAACUAAUGCGGGGAAUCAGAGAGCACUAAUUAAGUCAUGGGGGGAUCCGAAGCGGUCGGCAUGGCUGUGUUCCCCAACAACCCAGACCAAUGGGGGUUUUAGUGAGAACUUUACAGCCCAACAGCAGUCAGCAUCAAACGUGUUUACUGUCAGCUGAGUGUCCGGCUGAGGCAUGAACUGCUGGAUCUGCAAAGCCACCUGGGAAAAACAGCAGAAGCUCUUAGUCUGAGUACUGAUAGGCCUUUCUUCUCCCCUUCCCUUUUUUCUUCCCUUUUUCUUACUGCCUUUAGCAGAACUCACAAAGUUGCUCCAAAUGCCAACAUUGUCCAAAGCAAACACAGACACUGACUCUCUAUCAAAGCAGUGUUUCUUUUUUUUUAAAUGGAUCAACAGUUUUUUCCCACUUAAGUGGUGAUCUUGAGCGAGAAGUGAGCCCAAGUGGGCCCUUACAAAAUUUAAAUCGUUAACAUAAUGGAAAAUUAUAUUCAGUCAGUUGAAUUUUAACCUUUGCUUUAACUUUUAUGUUGAGGGCAAAUGUAAAAACAAAAUCUGAUCAAUUUUUUAUUAUUAUUUAUUUUCCUUUGUGCAAUAAAAGUCAGGCAGCUGAAAAGAAACCUUUGCUCCUUCAGAUUCCUUUGUCACAUCAUACAUAUUUUUAGACAAUUAAGCCUGUCUUUCAGGUCAAUGUCAGAGCAUUGUGUCUAAUCUUCAAAUACCAACUACUGAAGUUUGAUAAAAUGAAUAGAAGUGGUCGUGCUCAACGCAGGGGGCAGGUAACUUUCGUGAAAACAGCAAAAGUUAACUGUAAUCUGAAAUAUUAUUACAGUGAGAAUGCCACAGCUGACAGUCAUACAUACUACACAUUUAACUUUUUUAUUUCAAUAUUUUAAUAAUAUCUUAUUCCAAACCUUCAAUAAUAUAUAAAAACAAGUGUGAGGUGGAGAUGCUGCACACUUUAUAACAACAUCACUGAAUAGCUAGCUGACGAAAAAUUGCUUGUGUUUGCUUGGUAAACCAUAUGAAAAAUUAAUUGACUCAACUUUAAAAAAAAAAAACUGUAUUUGAUUCUGCGCAUGUGUGCAUUUAUUUACUGGGAGAUUUGUGGAUGAAAUAUUAGAUUAGAUACAACUUUAGUUAUCCUUUUGGGAGUUCCCUCAAGGAAAUAAAAACAUGUAAAAAAAAAUGUGUGUAUUUAGAGUUGAUGGGAUUUUUGCAUUUGUGCAUCUAACAUCAAAAUGCUGGUCUGCCACAUCACCAGAAAUAUGAUCUACUUUUUGCCUUUCUUUUACUGACUUUAUAUGUCAUCCUUGUGUUAGUCUGGCUUUUAUAUGCUCUUAAGUCCUCUGUAUGCGGCAUUCAUACAUAUUUCUCCAAUAUUUGUCUACCUUUUAAAAAUGUUUGGCCCUUGAAAUAAACUCAUUCGAUUUAAAGAUGUGACCUGUCAGCAAACC